rnacentral:rRNA from 1 species
CCUACGGGUGGCAGCAGUCGAGAAUCAUUCACAAUGGGGGAAACCCUGAUGGUGCGACGCCGCGUGGGGGAAUGAAGGUCUUCGGAUUGUAAACCCCUGUCAUGUGGGAGCAAAUUAAAAAGAUAGUACCACAAGAGGAAGAGACGGCUAACUCUGUGCCAGCAGCCGCGGUAAUACAGAGGUCUCAAGCGUUGUUCGGAAUCACUGGGCGUAAAGUGUGCGUAGGCUGUUUCGUAAGUCGUGUGUGAAAGGCGCGGGCUCAACCCGCGGACGGCACAUGAUACUGGGAGACUAGAGUAAUGGAGGAGGAACCGGAAUUCGCGGUGUAGCAGUGAAAUGCGUAGAUAUCGAGAGGAACACUCGUGGCGAAGGCGGGUUCCUGGACAUUAACUGACGCUGAGGCACGAAGGCCAGGGGAGCGAAAGGGAUUAGAUACCCGAGUAGUC